rnacentral:rRNA from 1 species
GAUGAACGCUGGCGGCGUGCCUAAUACAUGCAAGUCGAGCGAACAGACGAGGAGCUUGCUCCUCUGACGUUAGCGGCGGACGGGUGAGUAACACGUGGAUAACCUACCUAUAAGACUGGGAUAACUUCGGGAAACCGGAGCUAAUACCGGAUAAUAUAUUGAACCGCAUGGUUCAAUAGUGAAAGACGGUUUUGCUGUCACUUAUAGAUGGAUCCCCGCAUUAGCUAGUUGGUAAGGUAACGGCUUACCAAGGCAACGAUGCGUAGCCGACCUGAGAGGGUGAUCGGCCACACUGGAACUGAGACACGGUCCAGACUCCUACGGGAGGCAGCAGUAGGGAAUCUUCCGCAAUGGGCGAAAGCCUGACGGAGCAACGCCGCGUGAGUGAUGAAGGUCUUCGGAUCGUAAAACUCUGUUAUUAGGGAAGAACAAAUGUGUAAGUAACUAUGCACGUCUUGACGGUACCUAAUCAGAAAGCCACGGCUAACUACGUG